UUGGAGGGCAAGUCUGGUGCCAGCAGCCGCGGUAAUUCCAGCUCCAAUAGCGUAUAUUAAAGUUGCUGCAGUUAAAAAGCUCGUAGUUGAAUUUCGGGACCAAUAUGUCGGUCGUGCCUCGGUACGUACUGGCAUCGUUGGUUUCUCCCUUCUGACGAACCAUGAUGUCAUUUAUUUGGUGUCGUGGGGAAUCAGGACUGUUACUUUGAAAAAAUUAGAGUGUUUAAAGCAGGCUCACGCUUGAAUACAUUAGCAUGGAAUAAUGAAAUAGGACGUUUGAUUCUAUUUUGUUGGUUUCUAGGAUCGACGUAAUGAUUAAUAGGGAUAGUUGGGGGCAUUAGUAUUCAAUUGUCAGAGGUGAAAUUCUUGGAUUUAUUGAAGACUAACUACUGCGAAAGCAUUUGCCAAGGAUGUUUUCAUUAAUCAAGAACGAAAGUUAGGGGAUCGAAGACGAUCAGAUACCGUCGUAGUCUUAUCAUAAACUAUGCCGACUAGGGAUCGGAUGAUGUAUUUUUUAUGACUCAUUCGGCGCCUUACGGGAAAC
rnacentral:rRNA from 1 species